rnacentral:rRNA from 1 species
CUACGGGACGCUGCAGUGGGGAAUAUUGCACAAUGGACGAAAGUCUGAUGCAGCAACGCCGCGUGGAGGAUGACACAUUUCGGUGCGUAAACUCCUUUUAUAUAGGAAGAUAAUGACGGUACUAUAUGAAUAAGCGCCGGCUAACUCCGUGCCAGCAGCCGCGGUAAUACGGAGGGCGCAAGCGUUACUCGGAAUCACUGGGCGUAAAGAGCGUGUAGGCGGAUAGAUAAGUCAGGAGUGAAAUCCUAUGGCUCAACCAUAGAACUGCUCUUGAAACUGUCUAUCUAGAAUAUGGGAGAGGUAGAUGGAAUUUCUGGUGUAGGGGUAAAAUCCGUAGAGAUCAGAAGGAAUACCGAUUGCGAAGGCGAUCUACUGGAACAUUAUUGACGCUGAGACGCGAAAGCGUGGGGAGCAAACAGGAUUAGAUACCCCCGUAGUC